CUGGUGUAGCAGCGCCGUGCUGGGGAUCGUGUUGCCUAAAUUCUUGGGAUCGUGUCCCUUCCUACCUGUGCGCUAUUCCACGUUGUGUUAUUCUUCACUGGUCUGUUCUGGAGUAGCACAGGAUGUGUUCCACUGCUGCAGCACAAACCAGGCGGUGCCGUGCAGUGACAUCCAUGAAAAUAAAUCCUGGCUGGUGUUAAGUGCAUGGGAGGUGUCACCUGUGUGCCAUAUGCUGGAGAUACAGUCACUUAAUUCAUUUCCAUCGCAUAACCAAGCCACCAAACUGCACGUGCAGCCGGAGGGUGACAAGCUGUCCACACGAGCAUGGCUGAAGUUAGGAUGUGAAGCUACGCCAAAGUGAGCCAGAUCAUUGCCCCAGAUGUAAAAAAACACACUGACUUCUUCCAGAAUUGGUGGUGAAAGUUUGAUUUGUGUUACACUUGUGCACAUCGCCUGGUCUCUUCCUUGCUUUGUGGCCUGUUGAAGUGCCUGGCUCCUGGCAGCAGGGCUGCUGGACACUGGGCAGGGAGAAUAACGAGCUCUUGGCAGCUUGGAGGUGCUUGGGGAGCCUGCGGGUACCAGCGCUCCCCGGUGCCCUGACUGAGAACGUGGGUAUCAAAUCCAGAACCAGCACAUUUUUUGCUCCUUGCAAUUGAGGCAGCUGAGCUGUGUAUAGCUGGUGGUUCUCUCUUCUCAUUCAUCCCCCGGUUGUGCAGGGACGGCGCAGCACUGAGGUGCAGUGUGCCUGUUGGGCACCAGCAAAGGGUUCUCAUAAAACACUGGUUCUGCCCUAAGAUUUCCUAUUAAUGACCCUGAGAAAUGUCAUAUAAUCGUUUGAGUUGGAAGGGACCCAUACAGGCCAUCUGGUCCAACUCCCCUGCAAUGAACGGGGACACCUACAGCUCCGUCAGGUGCUCAGAGCCCACACAGCCUGACCUUGAGUGUCUCCUGUGACAGAGCAUCCACGGACUCUCUGGGCAGCCUGUGCCAGAGCCUCAUUGCCUUUAGUGUAAAAAACUUCUUCCUUACAUCUGCCCUCUAUCUGCCCUCUUUUCGUUUCAAACCAUUUCCCUUUGUCCUAUCACACAGACCCCACUAAAGAGUGUUCCCUUCUUUCUUACAGCCCCCUCAGAUACUGACAGGCCGCUUUCAGGUCUCCCUUCAGCC
ensembl:lncRNA